UCCUCCCCCCCCAACCACCACCGGGUUAACGGGAGAGCGAAGGAUGGAAGACAGAUCCCAGAGAGAUGUACACUCUUCUGGACAAAACCAGCCACCUUCCCGAAAGGUCUGCAAAAAAGCAGACACCUGGCCCCCAGCCCUGACGUCUUCACUGAGACCAGAAACCUCCUCGGGACUGUGGCUCCGAUGAGCUGUGGGGGCGGGGGUGGAAAUCCUCGGGCUGAAAAGAUGCUUUUCCGGAGGCAGGAGGGGCCAUGCAGACCUAGCCUCGGAGGAAGUGUCUCCUUCCCCGCCGCCCUCACCCCGACCCCAGCACCGGAGUGACGGUUGGCUGCUCUUCACCAGCCUGUACCUGUGUCCACGCAGAAGCCUCUGUCCCACCCACACGCCCAGUUAACCAAGUACUGGUGCACGGAUAAACCGAAUUUCCCUCCAUGAUGAAUAAUCGUUAGCUACUGUUUGUUCUCUGCUCGUCGCUCCUUGUUCCCACGGCAUUAAACGUGUAUCAUUAAACAUC